UAACAGGAAGCAGCUUGCUGUUUCGCUGACGAGUGGCGGACGGGUGAGUAAUGUCUGGGAAACUGCCUGAUGGAGGGGGAUAACUACUGGAAACGGUAGCUAAUACCGCAUAACGUCGCAAGACCAAAGAGGGGGACCUUCGGGCCUCUUGCCAUCGGAUGUGCCCAGAUGGGAUUAGCUAGUAGGUGGGGUAACGGCUCACCUAGGCGACGAUCCCUAGCUGGUCUGAGAGGAUGACCAGCCACACUGGAACUGAGACACGGUCCAGACUCCUACGGGAGGCAGCAGUGGGGAAUAUUGCACAAUGGGCGCAAGCCUGAUGCAGCCAUGCCGCGUGUA
rnacentral:rRNA from 1 species